rnacentral:rRNA from 1 species
CAGUCGCCGCGGUAAUACGAAGGGGGCUAGCGUUGUUCGGAUUUACUGGGCGUAAAGGGUGCGUAGGCGGAUUGUUAAGUCAGGGGUGAAAUCCCGAGGCUCAACCUCGGAACUGCCUUUGAUACUGGCGAUCUUGAGUCCGGGAGAGGUGAGUGGAGCUGCGAGUGUAGAGGUGAAAUUCGUAGAUAUUCGCAAGAACACCGGUGGCGAAGGCGGCUCACUGGCCCGGUACUGACGCUGAGGCACGAAAGCGUGGGGAGCAAACAGGAUUAGAUACCCCGGUAGUCCCUGUCUCUUAUAC